AUAACUGCAGCAUGGCAUGUAACAUAGCACGACGGAUUUAGAAACAGCAAUGAGACGGUUGAUCGAUGCGGGGGAAACCUCCCGGGAUGCACAUACCUAUACACAUGCCGUGGAUAUAUACUGCGGGCUCGCUAGCUGCAACCCGUUACCCGCGAGCGAAACAGUCGUUGAAAAAGCCUCCACGAGCAUCAAGAGGGAGGGUAGCUCAGCUGCGGAAAGAGAGAGCGAGAGAGAGAGAGAGAGAGAGAAAAAGAGAUGAAGGGAAGUGCAGCAGCAUCUCUUCCAGAAGCCAAGGGGUGUGCAGGUAUAGUAGUAGAUGAGUAAAAUGUGAAACGGGUGAGGACUAUCGGUAGGCGGUAGGUGUUAUUUUAUACAUAUACAUAUAUAUAGGAUACGUAUACACAUAUAUACAUACACGUCAAAUGUAGCUACACAAGUAUGCGUAUGUGUUUUACCUAGAUGUGAGUAUUUGUAUGUGCUUUAGAUGGCGAAGAGUGAGAAAUUCUGUUUCUGAGUAAAUAGAGAGAGAGAGAGAGAGAGAGAGAGAGAGAGAGAGAGAGAGAGAGUCAGGGAAUGAGUCGGAGUAAGAGUCAGCGGUGAUCCUCGGCGCUGGUCGCCGGUAAUGGCACGACCGCUUCACCUCGAUGGUACAUAGAGAAGAAAAAAAGCGAAAUAAAUAAAUAAAUAAAAAAGAGAAACAGUGAAAUAAAAGAGGUGAAAAAAAAAGCAUAUAGGUGUACGCUGUAUAUGUAUAAAAUGAAAGGAGAAAGAGGAAUGACUAUACAGAAGUGGCUACGACAUUUUUAGCCAACGGUUGCGCCGAAGCCACGCGAGAAUGCCCGCCUACACCUGAUGCAGCAACCUUCGGCUUUUCUUCGACAGCCGCACGUUCAAUCCACGCGGACACUUAUACGUAUAUGUACAUAUAUACCACCGUUCGCAACGCUAUCUUCUUCUUUUGAGUUCUGCAGAAGAAUCCCCGCCCCAGGGGCGACCGGCGGUCGAUUGUUUCUUGCACUUUGCCGGACAUAAGACGACGCUAUACCCGAAUUACGGAAAACCAGGUACCCGGGACUUCCUCCGGUAUCGCAGCGUCGCGGCGCCUUUUAUAAUGUAUUUAAACUCCCGAGAUAGUCGCGUAAGAUCGCCGGGCAUCGUUCUGCACGUGAUACUCGUCCGAGGGAUUCGGAGAUGAGAAACUCCCCAACUCUUAACUUCGAUAAAAAGGUUUUAUCGGUGUCGGGGAAAAAUUCAAAUCUUUCAAAUAAAGACGUGCGUAUACCAAUGUUUCUCGCAUCGGGUAAAAGAACAAUGAAAAC
rnacentral:misc_RNA from 1 species